CAUCGCCUGCACCUCCUGGUACUGACUCUUCGCCCUCAGUUCACCGGUCACUGCCCUGUUCGCCUCGCCUGGUCCGGCCGUCGUCGGUCCCCACGGCCCGGUGCCUCCCUUAACCUACCAACGCCCCAUCCCCACCGGCGCCCAGAGACGUGCAGAGUCGAGGAGGUCGAGGGGGACAGGAAGGAGGUCUGCGCUGAGCUGCUGCACUGCAGGGCCGUGAGGCCCUGUCUCGCCUCUGCCCCCUCCGGCCACCGGAGACUCUUGGGCUUCCCGCGCUGCACCCAGACACCUCAGGCCUCCGUGCUCGCCCCGCCCGCAGCUCCAGCCGUCUGGGUCCUAGUUCAGCCUGCCCUGCGCGGACUUCUAGAACCAGGCUGGGGCUCUUGAUUUGAUAACUUGAACUCCUGGAGUACACUGGAGGAAUGCUGUUCGAAGGAAUGAAGUCAGUCUAUGAAAACAUCUCUCAAUUAAGAAUCAUCCCUGAAGAUGAGAAACUGUGACUUGACAGCUGCUCCUGGCUGUGUGACCUGCUCCCUCCAGACUCAUAGAACUGACAGGGUGGCUUUCCAUGGAGCACCGAUGAUCUUCAAUGGCCUGUACAACCCUCUACUUCGUGUGGCUGAGGCUUGGCACAUACAGACCCUCAACAAUCACUCCCUGACUUGAUUUCCCCAGAUUGUGCAUUGCCUGCCUGAAGGGAUCUUCUCUGUCUGAUGUCAGUGUCUCUAUUAGGGCUAGAAGGACCCUUGGAGUGCAUCUGUCUCCCACCCCACUUCUCCCAUGUCACAGGUGAAAAAAGGGGGUCACGAGGGUAAGGAAUCAUCCCAAGUCCCUCGCCCAGGGCACAUUACCUUUGAAGAAGACGAAUCUCCCAUCAGCCCUUUCAUAGGCUGCGUCUAUGCGGGCGGGUAGGCCCUUCCAGA